rnacentral:rRNA from 1 species
AUUGAACGCUGGCGGCAUGCCUUACACAUGCAAGUCGAACGGUAACGGGCCUUCGGGUGCCGACGAGUGGCGAACGGGUGAGUAAUGUAUCGGAACGUACCUUUCAGUGGGGGAUAACGUAGCGAAAGUUACGCUAAUACCGCAUAUUCUGUGAGCAGGAAAGCAGGGGAUCGCAAGACCUUGCGCUGAUUGAGCGGCCGAUAUCAGAUUAGCUAGUUGGUGAGGUAAAGGCUCACCAAGGCGACGAUCUGUAGCGGGUCUGAGAGGAUGAUCAGCCACACUGGAACUGAGACACGGUCCAGACUCCUACGGGAGGCAGCAGUGGGGAAUUUUGGACAAUGGGGGCAACCCUGAUCCAGCCAUGCCGCGUGAGUGAAGAAGGCCUUCGGGUUGUAAAGCUCUUUCGGCCGGGAAGAAAUCGUAUCAGCUAAUACCUGGUGCGGAUGACGGUACCGGCAUAAGAAGCACCGGCCAACUACGUGCCAGCCGCCGCAGUAACAC